rnacentral:rRNA from 1 species
AUUGAACGCUGGCGGCAGGCUUAACACAUGCAAGUCGAGCGAGCGGCGGACGGGUGAGUAAUGUCUGGGAAACUGCCUGAUGGAGGGGGAUAACUACUGGAAACGGUAGCUAAUACCGCAUACCAUCAUUUGUGCUCAGAUGGGAGUAGCUAGUAGGUGGGGUAAUGGCCCACCUAGGCGACGCUCCCUAGCUGAUCUGAGAGGCUGACCGGCCACACUGGAACGGAGACACGGUCCAGACUCCUACGGGAGGCAGCAGUGGGGAAUAUUGCGCAAUGGGCGCAAGCCUGAUGCAGCCAUGCCGCGUGUGGGAAGAAGGCCUUCGGGUUGUAAAGCACUGUCAGCGAGGAGGCGUUACUCGCAGAAGAAGCACCGGCUAACUCCGUGCCAGCAGCCGCGGUAAUAC